rnacentral:rRNA from 1 species
AUACGGAGGGUGCAAGCGUUACUCGGAAUCACUGGGCGUAAAGCGCGCGCAGGCGGCUAUUUAAGUUGGAUGUGAAAGCCUACGGCUCAACCGUAGAACUGCAUCCAAAGCUAUUUAGCUAGAGUGUGGGAGAGGAAGAUGGAAUUAGUUGUGUAGGGGUAAAAUCCGUAGAGAUAACUAGGAAUACCAAAAGCGAAGGCAAUCUUCUGGAACACUACUGACGCUGAGGCGCGAAAGCGUGGGGAGCAAACGGGAUUAGAAACCCUAGUAGUCC